AGAAUUUGAUCUUGGUUCAGGAUGAACGCUGGCGGCGUGCCUAAUACAUGCAAGUGAAACGGGUAUCUUCGGAUACCAGUCGCGGACGGGUGAGUAAUACAUAGGCAACCUGCCUUUAUGAGGGGGAUAACCGAGGGAAACUUUGGCUAAUACCGCAUGAAGACUCUAAGGCAUCUUAGAGGGAUAAAAGUUGGGAAACAACGCAUGAAGAUGGGCUUAUGGCGCAUUAGCUAGUUGGUGAGAUAGAAGCCCACCAAGGUAAUGAUGCGUAGCCGACCUGAGAGGGUGAACGGCCACAUUGGGACUGAGACACGGCCCAAACUCCUACGGGAGGCAGCAGUAGGGAAUUUUCGGCAAUGGGGGGAACCCUGACCGAGCAACGCCCGCGUGAAGGAAGAAGGUUUUCGGAUUGUAAACUUCUGUUAUAAGGGAAGAACGGAUUGGAUAGGGAAUGAUCUGAUAGUGACGGUACCUUAUUAGAAAGCCACGGCUAACUACGUGCCAGCCGCCGC
rnacentral:rRNA from 1 species